CGGAAUGUGUAAUGUACCGGUGAAAUGCUUAGAUAGUACACAGAACACCGAUUGCGAAGGCAGCUUACUAAACCGAUACUGACGCUGAUGCACGAAAGCGUGGGGAGCGAACAGGAUUAGAUACCCUGGUAGUCCACGCUGUAAACUAUGAUCACUCGCUGUUGGCAAUACAUCGUCAGCGGCUGAGCGAAAGCAUUAAGUGAUCCACCUGGGGAGUACGGUCGCAAGAUUGAAACUCAAAGGAAUUGACGGGGGCCCGCACAAGCGGUGGAACAUGUGGUUUAAUUCGAUGAUACGCGAGGAACCUUACCUGGGCUUAAAUGUAGACUGCAUUUCCGGGAAACCGGAAUUUCCUUCGGGACCGUCUACAAGGUGCUGCAUGGUUGUCGUCAGCUCGUGCCGUGAGGUGUCGGGUUAAGUCCCAUAACGAGCGCAACCCCUAUCGUUAGUUGCCAGCGAGUAAUGUCGGGGACUCUAGCGAAACUGCCGGUGUAAACCGAGAGGAAGGUGGGGAUGACGUCAAAUCAGCACGGCCCUUAUGUCCAGGGCUACACACGUGUUACAAUGGUCAGUACAAAGGGCAGCUACCUGGUGACAGGAUGCUAAUCUCGAAAACUGGUCUCAGUUCGGAUUGGAGUCUGCAAUUCGACUCCAUGAAGCUGGAAUCGCUAGUAAUCGCGCAUCAGCAACGGCGCGGUGAUACGUUCCCGGGCAUUGUACACACCGCCCGUCAAGCCAUGGAAGCUGGGGGUGCCUGAAGUCCGUAACCGAAAGGAUCG
rnacentral:rRNA from 1 species